UGGAAGCAAGACUGGAGAAUUUAAAGGCUCAAUGUGGUGAAAAAUAGUGUGUUUUUGGUUUUUUUUGGGGGGUGGACACUGAGUGGGGAGGGAAUGGCCAGGGAUCGCUCUGGUGAGAGACCCACAGCUGCCUCAGAAGCAGAGGUCUGAGCUGGAAGAAGGAGAGAGAAGGCCGUUCUCAUUGGACUUGCCCGCUCUUUCCUCGGAGGGCCUUGCCUAGCUCCCUCAGCCAUUUUCUCCUGGGAAGGUUCCAAACUGGAAGCGUGGGAGUGGGGAGAGACCAAACUAGCAAUGGUGUAUUUCAGUUUCUAUCUGAAAUUCAUUCAACACAGGAUACAAUGUUAGAAACCUGUUUCUCCAGCUGAUUUCUCUCUGCAAAGACAAUGGAGGGGACACCAAGAUAACAACAACG